AUUGAACGCUGGCGGCAGGCCUAACACAUGCAAGUCGAGCGAGCGGCGGACGGGUGAGUAAUGUCUGGGAAACUGCCUGAUGGAGGGGGAUAACUACUGGAAACGGUAGCUAAUACCGCAUACCAUCAGAUGUGCCCAGAGGGGAUUAGCUAGUCGGUGGGGUAACGGCUCACCUAGGCGACGAUCCCUAGCUGGUCUGCGAGGAUGACCAGCCACACUGGGACUGAGACACGGUCCAGACUCCUACGGGAGGCAGCAGUGGGGAAUAGUGCACAAUGGGCGCAAGCCUGAUGCAGCCAUGCCGCGUGUGUGAAGAAGGCCUUCGGGUUGUAAAGCACUUUCAGCGGGGAGGCGGUACCCGACGAAGAAGCACCGGCUAACUCCGUGCCAGCAGCCGCGGUAAUUC
rnacentral:rRNA from 1 species